rnacentral:rRNA from 1 species
AUUGAACGCUGGCGGAAUGCUUUACACAUGCGAGUCGAACGGCAGCACGGACUUCGGUCUGGUGGCGAGUGGCGAACGGGUGAGUAAUGUAUCGGAACGUGCCCAGUCGUGGGGGAUAACGUAGUGAAAAUUACGCUAAUACCGCAUACGAUCUAUGGAUGAAAGCGGGGGAUCGCAAGACCUCGCGCGAUUGGAGCGGCCGAUAUCAGAUUAGGUAGUUGGUGGGGUAAAGGCCCACCAAGCCAGCGAUCUGUAGCUGGUCUGAGAGGACGACCAGCCACACUGGAACUGAGACACGGUCCAGACUCCUACGGGAGGCAGCAGUGGGGAAUUUUGGACAAUGGGCGAAAGCCUGAUCCAGCCAUUCCGCGUGCAGGAUGAAGGCCCUCGGGUUGUAAACUGCUUUUGUACAGAACGAAAAGGCUUCUACUAAUACUAGGAGCUCAUGACGGUACUGUAAGAAUAAGCACCGGCUAACUACGUGCCAGCCGCCGCAGUAA